rfam:Morus notabilis contig8740, whole genome shotgun sequence.
GUUCCCGGUGAUGUUUUUCGACUGAACCAUGCUAAUGCUGAUGACUGCAUGACGACUUUUUUUCUUAAAUGUGCUGAGGGAACU